AGCUGGUGGCGUAGCGGUUGCAGCGAUUGCCUUGGGAUCAAUGGUUGCAGGUUCAAAUCCCACUUCCAGCUG
rnacentral:tRNA from 1 species